rnacentral:other from 1 species
UUAAUCCUGAUAUGUUCGUUUAUUUACGGUAUUUUGACCGAACACCUAUAUAAAUGGGAACUGCGGGUUUUUAUGGUGCAUGCAUGCCGCACACAGAUGCGGAAGCAUAAUAAACAUAAAACAGGGUACCCACCUGCCAAUAGCGGGAUCAAAACAUAAAAUAAACGGCAUUAUCGGGAUUAAG